rnacentral:rRNA from 1 species
ACUCCUGCGGGAGGCAGCAGUGGGGAAUUUUGGACAAUGGGGGCAACCCUGAUCCAGCAAUGCCGCGUGAGUGAAGAAGGCCUUCGGGUUGUAAAGCUCUUUUGUCAGGGAAGAAACGGUGGUGGCGAAUAACUACUACUAAUGACGGUACCUGAAGAAUAAGCACCGGCUAACUACGUGCCAGCAGCCGCGGUAAUACGUAGGGUGCAAGCGUUAAUCGGAAUUACUGGGCGUAAAGCGUGCGCAGGCGGUUGUGUAAGUCAGAUGUGAAAUCCCCGGGCUCAACCUGGGAAUUGCAUUUGAGACUGCACGGCUAGAGUGUGUCAGAGGGGGGUAGAAUUCCACGUGUAGCAGUGAAAUGCGUAGAUAUGUGGAGGAAUACCGAUGGCGAAGGCAGCCCCCUGGGAUAACACUGACGCUCAUGCACGAAAGCGUGGGGAGCAAACAGGAUUAGAAACCCUUGUAGUCCC